AGAGUUUGAUCCUGGCUCAGGAUGAACGCCGGCGGUGUGCCUAAUACAUGCAAGUCGUACGCACUGGCCCAACUGAUUGAUGGUGCUUGCACCUGAUUGACGAUGGAUCACCAGUGAGUGGCGGACGGGUGAGUAACACGUAGGCAACCUGCCCCGGAGCGGGGGAUAACAUUUGGAAACAGAUGCUAAUACCGCAUAACAACAAAAGUCACAUGGCUUUUGUUUGAAAGAUGGCUUUGGCUAUCACUCUGGGAUGGACCUGCGGUGCAUUAGCUAGUUGGUAAGGUAACGGCUUACCAAGGCGAUGAUGCAUAGCCGAGUUGAGAGACUGAUCGGCCACAAUGGAACUGAGACACGGUCCAUACUCCUACGGGAGGCAGCAGUAGGGAAUCUUCCACAAUGGGCGCAAGCCUGAUGGAGCAACACCGCGUGAGUGAAGAGGGGUUUCGGCUCGUAAAGCUCUGUUGUUGGAGAAGAACGUGCGUGAGAGUAACUGUUCACGCAGUGACGGUAUCCAACCAGAAAGUCACGGCUAACUACGUGCCAGCAGCCGCGGUAAUACGUAGGUGGCAAGCGUUAUCCGGAUUUAUUGGGCGUAAAGCGAGCGCAGGCGGUUGCUUAGGUCUGAUGUGAAAGCCUUCGGCUUAACCGAAGAAGUGCAUCGGAAACCGGGCGACUUGAGUGCAGAAGAGGACAGUGGAACUCCAUGUGUAGCGGUGGAAUGCGUAGAUAUAUGGAAGAACACCAGUGGCGAAGGCGGCUGUCUGGUCUGCAACUGACGCUGAGGCUCGAAAGCAUGGGUAGCGAACAGGAUUAGAUACCCUGGUAGUCCAUGCCGUAAACGAUGAGUGCUAGGUGUUGGAGGGUUUCCGCCCUUCAGUGCCGGAGCU
rnacentral:rRNA from 1 species